rnacentral:lncRNA from 1 species
GAUCAGUUUUCAUUAACCUCCACAGAAUUAAAUCCUCAAUAUAAUGGUUCUGCUAAAAAUACAAUUAAGCUGGGUUGCAAUCAAAAGGUAUAUCUGUUUUAAAACUUAUUUUCUGAGGUACUUUUAUUUAGAGAAAAGAAGUUUGCCAGUGGUCCACCAUGCCACAUCUUUUCAUGACACAAAGACUGAAAUAUAAAGACUAUUUUGAGGUAGGAUGUAACCAAUUGGUUUGCUUAAUGAAAUGUACUGCCCGACAUGGAAGAAACCACAUAGAAGUCAUUCUGCAGAGUCCAGUGGACACACGUAAACUGAUGGGUUGGAUGGGACAUAGACUGCCCCUAUGAUCUAGCCAAGGUAUUCAGGGAACACGCCAAGGAAUAAAAACUACAUGAGAAAGUAAGGUCAGUCAAAGGGAAGAAAGGAGAAGCACUUGCUUUGGACUGCGGGGGCCCUUUGGGAAGGAGGAAUGUGAGAGACCAGGUUUUUAAAGAAGGAUGAGCAUAAAAAGGAGGCAGCUACACCAAGCCCAUCUAUGAAGAUUUCUUGUUCCUGAGAACUAGAAUGAGUGGUAGGGAUGGAAGGAACAGAGGAGACACUGGCCAGGGACCAAAUAAUAUCUGAGAAGUCACCUACCAGGAUCUUGGAUUGUAGAGAUGAGAGAUCCCAAGGGUCCUCGAGAAUCUUGCUACCCCAUGGACAAACAGCAGUGGGAAUAUGGAAAUGUAGAACCUCACAUCCCUCACUAAAUCAGAAGAUGUAUUUGAAUAAGACCCCGAGAUUCACAUGCAUGUUGAAAGUCUGGCAUACAGUCCCUCAUUUCACAGGUUGGGAAACUGAAACCCAAAGACAACUGUACUUUCCAAAGAUGGUACAGUCAGGAGCAGAUUUAGGCCUAGAAGCCAGCAGUCCUGCUUGUCACCCCUAUUUCUAUAAGGCCUUUUCUGUCUGCCCUGCUCUCUUCUGUGUAAAUUCCCAAGGCUGCCACUGUG